rnacentral:tRNA from 1 species
GGGGAGUUUCCCGAGUGGUCAAAGGGGGCAGACUGUAAAUCUGUUGGCUCAGCCUUCGUAGGUUCAAAUCCUUCACUCCCCA